AUUUCAAUAUAAGAGAGUUUCAAAAGAUUACAUUGCUCCCCAACAACAAAGGGUUUAGUUCACCAUGGACAUGGUUAAACUAGAUGAAAUUAAAUGAAAGAAUGGAAGAGAAAACCCUAGGUUUGAUAAAGUGGAGCCUAAGCAUCCAAGAAAUCUCCUCCAAGGUGUGUAGAACUGCUCUGGACUUCUAUGCUUGCCAAAAGAUAACUUUGAGGGUCGCAUUGGGGCUAUUUAUAAAGCAUAAAAGUAACAGAAUUUAAGCCCAGGCCCAACAUUGCACCGCUCAGCGCCUAAAUUGGCCACUCAGCGGUUUGCCUCUAAUCGCAGGACCUCUCAGCGGUCCAUCUCACCGCUCAGCGGUUUGCCUCUAACCGCUCUGGCCGCUCAGUGACACCGCUUGGGCGAGAAGCAGUGAUUUCCCCUUCGUCUCUGGCGCUUAGCGUUGGAUUUGGCACUGAGCGAUGGACUUGACUCUUCUUUUCUUCCUUUUUCCCUCUUUUCGUGAGUCUAAGUCCUCCCUACUUCACUUCCAUCUUCAAUUCUCAUCAAAAUCCUGCAAAACAAUGCAAAAACAAGCAUAAUAUCUCUAAAAACAACUUUUGACUCUCAUGUGACUCAACUAAGUGUUUUACUUGAUUAUAAGCUCAUUCUAAGUCAAAAAGGGUGUGUUUUAAUAUCAAAUUCAAGUAUAAAAAUAACGGUUUUGAGACCGUUAUCAACACCAAAAACACCAUAUAACCAUAUUUCAAAAACAAAACGGUAAGUCAUAAUACAACAAGUAUUUAUACUGUAAAAUCUGCACCAAAAACAUGUAACAAUUAUUUUUCUGAAUAGAAAUGUACGGUGGUAUAUCUCUAACGUUCGGUCUGCUAAACCGAGCGGCCAAGCUUGCUAAUCAAAUGGGCCGAAUCAUCAGAUUGGUCCAGCUCUAUUGGGCUCGAGGCCCAUCAUCUCGCAAAUAUGAAUAACUGAAUAAUAUCAUAUAUCAUGUACCAAAUAAUAUCUCAGUAGAGAUAUAUCAGGUAAGUUUGUUUAUAUUUUAUUUUGUUUAUAUUUUAUUUUGUUCUGUUAAUCUCAUAUCAAUCCAAAGCCUAUAAAUAAAGAACUAAAGGCUCCAAACAAGGUACGCUCACAUUCCCUCACACUCAUACUUUUACACCUAAUUGAGUAUCAAUCCUCUCUCCAUUCUAAGCAUCAACUUGUUGAGGAUCGAGGAUCUUCCUACACCGACAUCUAACUUGAUCGUCGGAGUGCCUUUACAGGUACCCCCCCCCCCUCUCGGGUGAAGGUUGGAACUUGACGGACGGUCUGAAGAACGGGCGACGAAGGUAUUUGAAGAUCUCGCACUAGAAAGAAGCAAAAUCGCGUCAUCGAGGUUAGUACUUUCGGUCCCAGAAAUUCCUACCGAAACAGAAACAUCAAGCUAAAUACAACAACUAACAUCACAUUUAAUUAUGCAUCAAGACAACAUGUACUCUUUGUUUUCUGGAAAGAUAUAAGUUGAAAGCUUGUUGAGAAGACUUCCAAGAAAUAGAGGUGUGUCUCAAUAAACAACUUAAGUACCUUAUCUUUCUUUAGCCAAAGUGUUCCCCAACAAGUUUCACAAAUCUCACAUCCAUUUGCAUACAUCAUGUUUGUAACAAAAUUUUGUAACUUACACUUUAAAACAAUCCAUACAUCAUCAUUAUAUUGGCCAACAAUCAAUAAAAUCUCAUACUUAACAGAAAAAUAAUUGCUCAAGAGGUAUAUUUUUUAAACAACAACCAACAUUCAUGUCCAAGUAACAAGCUUAUAUCGUGACCUUUUCAUAAAAAUAAAGAGACAUGGUUUAACUCCCCUUAAAACCUCACUAUCAAGCUUUUACAUAUAUCCAAAAUCAUACAAAAUGUAAAGAGAAAGGUUAGCCCCCUUUACCUCUUGAUGAACUACUUUGAUCCUUUCUCUACGAAAUCUGAACAACAGCUCCCUUCUUUAACCUUCAAAACCUUCUACAAACACAAAGAGAACCCCUCUCUACAAACAACUCUCUUUGCAACAUAAUCUAAACACCCUUUCAGAAGUUCUCACAACCUUCUCUAUAACUCAAAUCUUAACCCUCAAAUCUCCUUAUUAGCGACUAAAUUCUUGCUCUCUCUUCUCAACUCUCACUCCAAAGAUGAAAAUAUCCAUUUCCUCCCCUCCGUUUAUAGUUGAAAUUAGGGUUAUUGUAGUUGUACUGUAAUAGUACUGUAGCUCUACAACAUUUUAUUGUAGCAGUACUAUAGAUGUGCUAAAUUUUUACAGUAUUAAUACUAUAGGAACACGUUUUUCACGAGGUAUUUUCAAUGUAGCAUGUACAUAUUUUACUGUAGCAUUUUACUAUAAUAUUAUACAUAUAUUUCGAUAUAUAUAUAUAUAUAUAUAUAUAUAUAUAUAUAUAUAUAUAUAUAUAUAUAUAUAUAUAUAUAUAUAUCUUUUCAAGUGAAACUAUUUUUCAAGGGUCUUACACCCAACAGAUAGCCAUCAAGCCAAGUUCUUUUUGUUGACAUACAACCAUUUAAUAUUUUUUUUAACUUAUUCUUAUUUUGUAUAUAUAAUUUUUUAAUGCAAACCAUUAUAUACACUCAUCAUAUAUUACUUGCACACAAGACUUUUACCUUACCAUCAAAAAUUCUAAUUAAUUAACCACAUGGUACUAAAAUUAAACCUUAUCUUAGAUAUUCUAAUAACUAAUUUCGUCGGGUCUUACACUUCUCAUAUUCUUCAUUCCUUAUCACAACUUGUGCACAGUCAUGUGAUAACCUAUUUAGUUUAAACAAACAUCCUUCAUACCAUCAAACCUAUUAUACCCACUAUAAUUAAUAAUGACAAAAUUCAAAAUUUUUGAGGUAGGUUGAGGAGUUUGCUUGGGGCUUUCUCUCUGCAAAAUAUAUGGACGUAAGAGGAAGAAGACUUUAAAGAAGGGUUUAUGAUAAAUACAGAUUGACUCAUAGUUUGCCAUUCUCAUGUCCUCUACCUCUUUGAACCUCUGCAUUGGUAAAGCAAAGAACUCAAUACUCGAAUUGGACAAUCUGGAAUACAUUACGGAAUUUAUAAUGGGUUUUGAGAUUUUAAACAUACCAAAUUCUAUAGUCAAAUACAUGAUUUCGAAAUCGAAAGAUACAUAUUUGAACGAAUUGUACGAUCCAGACACUUUUCAAAUUCGAAAUCAAAUGCUAGAGUGUAGAAUCUGGUAUGUAUUCCUAAUUUGAAAAACAAAUGACAUCACAGAGAUUACUUUCAACGAUUACACCCACCUCUAAUUAAACCCCAUGCACGUAAUAAAUCCACUUACCUCUCACUCUUUGAGAUUUAGAACAAGGAUGAACCACUUCUUCUCCACAAGUUUUGAGCAAUUGGUGCAAAAUCUUGAGUAUGGUGAUGCACAACGUGGUAAUCAAGAGGUGAUGAAGGUACAUAACGCUCAAUGGAGAUUUUCACCAAUGGAGAUGCAAGCCAUCAUAUCCUUGACUAAGUUGUGAGGAGAUGCACAAGUUGUGAGGAGGAACGACUAAG
rnacentral:lncRNA from 1 species